AUUGAACGCUGGCGGCAGGCCUAACACAUGCAAGUCGAGCGGAGCGGCGGACGGGUGAGUAAUGCCUAGGAAUCUGCCUGGUAGUGGGGGAUAACGUCCGGAAACGGGCGCUAAAACGCCUACUAUCAAAUUGGCCCAGGUGGGAUUAGCUAGUUGGUGGGGUAAAGGCCUACCAAGGCGACGAUCCGUAACUGGUCUGAGAGGUUUACCAGCCACAAUGGAACGGAGACACGGUCCAGACUCCUACGGGAGGCAGCAGUGGGGAAUAUUGCACAAUGGGCGCAAGCCUGAUGCAGCCAUGCCGCGUGUAUGAAGAAGGCCUUCGGGUUGUAAAGUACUUUCAGCGGGGAGGCGUUACCCGCAGAAGAAGCACCGGCUAACUCCGUGCCAGCAGCCGCGGUAAUAC
rnacentral:rRNA from 1 species